CCGCUUUCUCCACCAAGCGGCGGCGUUCACCGUUUGCUUGUUGAAGCAGGUGAUAGCUUCCUAUGGAAACGUCCUAUAUCAUUAUCACAACACAGCAGUGGGAGAAGAUGAUCUGCAGGCUCCUGCUGCUCUUCGUCCUCACCUCGUGUGUCUCUGCAGGAUCAUUUGUAGUGAAUGUGACACAGACCUCCUAUCAGGCCCAGGAGAACCACAGCAUCACUGGAGUGGACCUUCACAGCAGAGACUGACAGAUCCUACAAAUAUCUGAACAUCUACUGUGACCUGAUAACUGAUGAUGGACUCUUCCUCCUGUAUCGUGUACAUGAUGGUGCUGAGGUCUCAGAGUCUCAGGAUGAGAAGUUUUCAGGGCGAGUCCAGAGUGACAAAGACGCCCUCAGAGAAGGACGAAUCAGACUUCAGCUGUCCAGACUCAGGACUGAUGACUCAGGCCCAUACAGGUGC